UACGUAGGGUGCAAGCGUUGUCCGGAAUUAUUGGGCGUAAAGAGCUCGUAGGCGGCCUGUCACGUCGGCUGUGAAAACCCGAGGCUCAACCUCGGGCCUGCAGUCGAUACGGGCAAGCUAGAGUACUGCAGGGGAGACUGGAAUUCCUGGUGUAGCGGUGAAAUGCGCAGAUAUCAGGAGGAACACCGAUGGCGAAGGCAGGUCUCUGGGCAGUUCCUGACGCUGAGACACGAAAGCCUGGGGAGCAAACGGG
rnacentral:rRNA from 1 species